GACAGAGGUGCCAAGCGUUAGGCGGAAUCACUGGGCUUGAAGCGUGUGUAGGCGGGCGGGCAAGUACCUUGUGAAAUCCCACGGCUCAACCGUGGAACGGCUGGGUAUACUGCCUGUCUUGAGCCAGCUAGGGGCGACCGGAACAGACGGUGGAGCGGUGAAAUGCGUAGAUAUCGUCUGGAACGCCAAAGGUGAAAACAGGUCGCUGGGGCUGAGCUGACGCUGAGACACGAAAGCCAGGGGAGCGAACGGG
rnacentral:rRNA from 1 species